UACGGGGGGGACUAGCGUUGUUCGGAUUUACUGGGCGUAAAGGGCGCGUAGGCGGACCUUCAAGUCGGAUGUGAAAUCUGUCGGCUUAACUGACAGUCUGCACCCGAUACUGUUGGCCUUGAGUACGGGAGAGGAGAGCGGAAUUCCUGGUGUAGCGGUGAAAUGCGUAGAUAUCAGGAAGAACACCGGUUGCGAAGGCGGCUCUCUGGACCGAUACUGACGCUUAAGCGCGAAGGCUUGGGGAGCAAACAGG
rnacentral:rRNA from 1 species